AAUGUGAACGUGGGGCCGUGGGCGCUGGUAGCGCACCGGUGCCUGUGUAGGACAAGGGCCGGGGAGAGGUGUAAGUGGAAGACGAGACACCUCUCCCGCGUGUACUACCAGCAUCGAGAUGUUUACACGGCGGAAGAGAUUAUACAGAUGAUAAAUCGCCGACGCCCACGCUGCCAGGCUAUGACCCUUAAAAGGCUACGGUGCUCAAGAGAUUCAACAAGGCAGUUUGUUCUGCAUUAUUGCACACAGCAUUAAUGUGAGGAACCUAUUGAAGCAUAGCUGAGGAAUGGAAAGAGUCCCUCAGGAAUAGCAGGAGGGCUAGGAGAGAAAGUACAUCGUUAUCGAAGAUGUCUAUUCAUCUACCUGGACAUCUACCUUGCAGAUAACCUCCUCCUCCUUACUGAGCAGUUCAUCUCACAACAUUCAAGAGAAGCCCGCCAGCCAAACAGACUCAUCAUCCCCAUUCAGCUCAUCUCACAAGCAAACGACAUUCAAGAGAAGCCCGCCAGCCAAACGGACCCAUCAUCCCCGUUCAGCUCAUCUCACAAGCAAACGACAUUCAAGAGAAGCCCGCCAGCCAAACAGACCCAUCAUCCCCAUUCAGCUCAUGUCACAAGCAAACAACAUUCAAGAGAAGUCCGCCAGCCAAACAGACUCAUCAUCCCCAUUCUGCUCAUGUC